CUCGUUCCUUCAGAGAGGAUGCUGUCUGCCAUCAGAGUGACCUCGUUCCUUUAAACACCUCCUCUUGCAGCUCCACUGAAUUGUAAUUAGCCCACGUGUUCAUUUCCAGUUAGCAUAGCUAGUUCACGCUGUGGAGUAAUGACCAGAAUCUGUACUGAACAUCAUUACAAGCUGUGGACUAUUCUGGGGACUUGAACUAUACGCUAUUCUACCAGCAUACUGUAGGCCUACACUUUCCCCCCUCACAUAAACAUUCAAAACAAUAGCCUAUGGGCUCCUCUAAUCAGUGAACCUGUUUUCUAUCCGCGUUGUUACAUUUAAUUUAUCCCAUGUUGAAUUAAUUAUUACAAAAACACAAUAGGAAUCUGAACCUAAAUUGUACUUUGAGAAAAAAUAUGUUUAUGAUCUAAAAUAAUGAGUAAUUAAUGAUGUAUCCCGUGUAAAAUGGAGAGCCCUUGGUCUGUUCUAUGACUACCGUGUUACUGCAGAGAGAGAGAGAGCUGUGUGAGGUACAGACAGGGUUAUUGGAGUUUAAUGCAAGCGGAUGUCGGUUUAAUUGAUUGAAACAAAUUACCUCAGCAUGGAUCCCUGUUCUCAUGCUCAGGCCGAUGGACACGGCCCGAGGAGUGGAGAGGGGGGAGGGGAAACGAUUGGCUGCUCUGGGCCAUAGAGAGACCUGAGCCCCUGACACUGCCUGCUGGGAUAUAGACGGAUGAUACGAUGGUCCCACAUAGGGAUGUUUUUAGUGAGCUUCAGUUGAGUUAUAUCAUUCAAAAUGUCAGUCGUAAUUGCACUGGCAUGAGAAAUCUUCCUAUUUAUUUUUCUUAGAUUGUGCAGUCGGUGUCUUCUCUCUGAUCAAUGGUUUGAUCGGAUCAGACGUCUCACGGUCUCUCAUCACAGCCGUGUAAUGGAAGAUUGACUAAUUGACUGUAAUUAAAUAAUGGAGAGGUAACAAGGUUCAGCACUAUGGUCAUUCAAUAAUUACACUUUUGCUACUAUGAUGUCACCGAGUGUAGCCACAUUUCUGAUUGAUGUAAAAUCUCAUAUAUUCAGAGACAAUUUGCAGUCUUUCUCUGAGAACAUUAUGGAAUACUCAAUUUUUUUUAUCGACCAGGAUAUCUUAUCAAGGACUAUUUGAUUGACUGAUUGAGGGCUGUUAGUGUGACUGGCAAUGCAUUCUGGGAAAGGUCAUCCCUCUUCAGUCCGCACCGUAGACAAGACUCCACUGGUGCUGGGAGCAAUAGAAUAUCAAUGUCCAAGGUCUCACUACAGGAAGUCCAGCCUGGGUAAUGUGCACAUUACGGAAGACUAUACACUGACAACAAAUAUCUACUAAAUCGAUGGUGUGGUUGUUUGUGAUGUCAAUAGAGUACGCAUUCCCCUGUAACCCCAGGAAUGGGAGUUGUUUUAAAUCCUACAGAAAGAUAGAGCAGUGUUCUGUUUGAGCUAUCGAUCUGGAGGGCCAAUAGAGUACAGUAUAGUAGAAUAGAGUGGAAUAAAGUAGAAUAGAAUAUAGUAGAAUAAACUAUAAUAAAGUAGAAUAGAGUAGAGUAGAAUAGACUCUAAUAAAUUAGAAUAGAGUAGAGUAGUCAGAAUAUAGUAGAAUAGAGCAGAUUAGAAUAGAAUAGACUAGAAUAGAGUAGAGUAGAAAAGGAAGAGCAGAAUAGAGUAGAAUAGAGUAGAAUUGUGAGAAUAGAGUAGUAGAAACAGUAUAAAUAGUAGAAUAGAGUAGAGUAGAAUAGUGUGGAAUAGGGUAGAAUAGAGUAGAAUUGUGUUGAACAGAGUAGUAGAAAUAGUACAAAUAGUAGAAUAGAGUAGAGUAAAAAAGUGUAGAAUAGAGUAGAUUAGAGUAGAGUAUAAUAGUGUAGCGUAGCGUAGAGUAGAAUAAAGUAGAGUAGAGCAGAAUAGAGUAGAGUAGAGUAGAGUAGAGUAGAGUAGAAUAGAAUAUAGUAGAAUAGAAUGGAGCAGAAUAUAAUAUAAUAGAGUAGAAAAGAGUAGAGCAGAGUAGAAUAUAAUAUAGUAGAGUAGAAUAGAGUAGAAUAGAGUAGAAUAGAAUAGAGUAGAAUAUAAUAUAGUAGAAUAGAAUAGAGUAGAAUAGAGAAGAAGAGAGUAGAAUAUAAUAGAGUAGAGUAGAAUAGAAUAGAGUAGAAUAGAAUAGAGUAGUUUAGAAUAGAGUAAAGUAGAUUAGAAUAUAGUAGAAUGGAGUGGAAUAGAGUAUAGUAGAGCAGAAUAUAAUAGAGUAGAAUAGUGUAUAAUAGAGUAGAAUAGAGUAGUGCAGAAUAGAGUAGAAUAGAGUAGAGUAGAAUAGACUAGAAUAGAGUAGAAUAGAGCAGAAUAGAGUAGAGUAGAAUAGAUUAGAAUAGAAUAGAGUACAGUAGAAUAGAAUAGCGUAGAGUGGAGUAGAAUAUAGUAGAAUAGAGUAGAGUAGAAUAGAGUAGAGCAGAAUAGAGUAGAAUAUAAAAGAGCAGAGUAGAAUAUAAUAGAAUAGAGUAGAAUAUAGAAGAAUAUAGUGGAGUAGAAUAGAGUAGAAUAGAAAAUAGUAGAAUAGAGUAGAGUAGAAUUGAAUAGAAUAGAGUAGAGUAGAAUUGAAUAGAAUAGAGUAGAGUAGAAUAUAAUGGAAUAUAAUAGAGUAGAGUAGAAUAGAAUAAAAUAGAGUAGAGUAGAAUAUAAUAUAGUAGAGUAGAAUAUAGUAGAGUAGAAUAGAAUAGAGUAGAGUAGAAUAGAGUAGAGUAGGAGAGUAGAACAUAAAAGAGCAGAGUAGAAUAGAGUAGAAUAUAAUAGAAUAGAGUAGAAUAUAGAACAACAGAGUGGAGUAGAAUAGAGUAGAAUAGAGUAGAAUAGUGUAGAGUAGAGUAGAAUAGAUUAGAGUAGAAUAGAAUAGAUUAGAAUAUAGUAGAAUAGAGUAGAGUAGAGUAGAAUAGAAUAAAGUAGAGAAGAAUGGAAAAAAGUAGAGUAGAAUAGAGUAGAGCAGAGCAGAGUGGAGUAGAAUAGAGUAGAGCAGAGCAGAGUGGAAUAGAGUAGAGUAGAAUAAAGUUGAAUAGAGUAGAGUAGAAUAGAAUAGAAUAGAGUAGAAUGGAGUGGAAUAGAGUAGAGUAGAAUAGAGUGGAAUAGAGUAGAAUGGAGUGGAAUAGAGUAGAGUAGAAUGGAGUAGAAUAGAGUAGAGUAGAAUAGAAUGGAAUAGAGUAGAAUGGAGUGGAAUAGAGUAGAGUAGAAUGAAGUAGAAUAGAGUAGGGUAGAAUAGAAUAGAGUAGAAUGGAGUGGAAUAGAGUAGAGUAGAGUAGAGUAUAAUGGAGUGGAAUAGAGUAGAGUAGAGUAGAGUAGAAUGGAGUGGAAUAGAGUAGAGUAGAAUGGAGUAGAAUAGAGUAGAGUAGAAUAGAAUGGAAUAGAGUAGAAUGGAGUAGAAUAGAGUAGAAUAGAAUGGAGUAGAAUAGAGUAGAGUAGAGUAGAAUAGAGUAGAAUGGAGUGGAAUGGAGUAGAGUAGAGUAGAAUGGAGUGGAAUAGAGUAGAAUAGAGUAGAGUAGAAUGGUGUAGAAUCCUCUUGAGAGCCACAUCUGAGGCAUAAACACCAGGUAAUUAAAGAGAUGUCCUGUCUUGUCUGUGUUCUUGUGUUGAGAUGGCAUACAUUACCCAGUACACUGCUAUGGUUGCACUCAACUCUGGCACUCUCUCACAUGAUAUCACAUACCAAGUUCUGUGGUUGUAGAGUAGUGUAGUGUGGUGUGGUGUAUUGUAGUGUAGUGUAGUGUAGUGUAGUGUGGUGUGGUGUGGUGUGGUGUGGUGUGGUGUGGUGUGAUGUGGUGUAGUGUAGUGUAGUGUGGUGUGGUGUAGUGGUAUAGUGGUGUGGUGUGGUGUGCUGGUGUGCUGGUGUGGUGUGGUGGUGUGGUGUAGUGGUGUGGUGUGGUGUAGUGGUGUAGUGGUGUGGUGUAGUGGUGUAGUGGUGUAGUAGUGUGGUGUGGUGUGGUGUAGUGGUGUGGUGUAGUGGUGUGGUGGUGUGGUUUGGUGGUGUGGUGGUGUGGUGUAGUGGUGUGGUGGUGUAGUGGUGUGGUAUGGUGUAGUGGUGUGGUGGUGUGGUGUGGUGGUGUAGUGGUAUAGUGGUGUGGAGUAGUGGUGUAGUGGUGUAGUGGUGUGGUGUAGUAUAGUAUAGUGUAGUGUGGUGUGGUGGUGUGGUGUGGUGUGGUGUGGUGGUGUGGUGUAGUGGUGUGGUGUGGUGUAGUGAUGGUUUGGUGUGAUAUAGUGGUGUGGUGGUGUGGUGUAGUGGUGUGGUGUGGUGGUGUGGUGUAGUGGUGUGGUGUGGUGGUGUGGUGGUGUGGUGGUGUGGUGUAGUGGUGUAAUGGUGGUGCUGGUGUGGUGUAGUGGUGUGGUGGUGUGGUGUAGUGGUGUGGUGGUGUGGUGUAGUGGUGUGGUGGUGUGGUGUGGUGUAGUGGUGUGGUGUGGUGGUGUGGUGUAGUGGUGUGGUGUAGUGUGGUGUAGUGGUGUGGUGUAGUGUGGUGUAGUGUGGUGUAGUGGUGUGGUGUGAUAUAGUGGUGUGGUGGUGUAGUGUGGUGUAGUGGUGUAGUGUGGUGUGGUGUGAUAUAGUGGUGUGGUGGUGUAGUGGUGUAGUGUGGUGGUGGUGUAGUGGUGUGGUGGUGUGGUGUGGUGUAGUGGUGUGUGGUGUUGUAGUGUGGUGUAGUGUAAUGUAGUGGUGUAGUGUGGUGUGGUGUAGUGUAGUGUAGUGUAAUGUAGUGGUGUAGUGUGGUGUGGUGUAGUGUAGUGUAGUGGUGUAGUGUGGUGUAGUGUAGUGUAGUGGAGUGUAGUGUAAUGUAGUGGUGUAGUGUGGUGUGGUGUUGUGUGGUGUGGUGUGGUGUAGUGUAGUGUAGUGUAGUGUAGUGUAGUGUAAUGUAGUGGUGUAGUGUGGUGUGGUGUAGUGUAGUGUAGUGUAAUGUAGUGGUGUAGUGUAGUGUAGUGUGGUGUAGUGUAGUGUAAUGUAGUGGUGUAGUGUGGUUUAGUGUGGUGUGGUGGGGUGUGGUGUAAUGUGGUGUGGUGUAGUGUGGUGUAAUGUAGUGGUGUAGUGUGGUGUAGUGUGGUGUGGUGUAGUGUGGUGUAGUGUGGUGUGGUGUAGUGUAGGGUAGUGUGGUGUAGUGUAGUGUAGGGUAGUGUGGUGUGGUGUGGUGUAGUGUAGUGGUGUAGUGUAGUGUAGUGUGGUGUGGUGUAGUGUAGUGUGGUGUGGUGUAGUAUAGGAUAGGGUAGUGUAAGGGUGUAGUGUGGUGUAUUGUAGUGUAGUGUGGUGUAGUGUAGAGUAGGGGUGUAGUGUAGUGUAGGAUAGGGUAGUGUGGUGUAGUGUGGUGUGGUGUAGUGUAGGAUACGGUAGUGUGGUGUGGUGUAGUAUAGGAUAGGGUAGGUUGGUGUAGUGUGGUGUGGUGUGGUGUGGUGCAGUGUGGUGUGGUGUAGUGUAGGGGUGUGGUGUAGUUUAGUGUGGUGUGGUGUGGUGUGGUGUAGUGUAGUGUAGGGUUGUGGUGUAGUGUGGUGUGGUGUGAUGUGGUGCAGUGUAGUGUGGUGUAGUGUAGGGGUGUGGUGUAGUGUAGUGUGGUGUGG
rnacentral:lncRNA from 1 species